rnacentral:lncRNA from 1 species
GGCAUUAUAAUGAUCAUAAAAUGACUGCCUCUUUUCCCUUUCAUACCAAAACAGUCUCUACCAAUUAAGUUCAAAAUUUGAAGGAAUUAAGCUUCCAAAAAUCAUCUACCCAGAAAAAAGCUUUUGAGAAAAAUCUGAAUAUUAUCCAGGGCUACAAUAUUGCGACAGUCAAAGAGAGGAAUCAAACUAAAAUGAUUGAGGGUAGCGUGAAGGGAAAGUAGUGAGAGGCU